GUGAGGAAUAUUGGACAAUGGGCGCAAGCCUGAUCCAGCCAUGCCGCGUGCAGGAAGACGCAUCUAUGGUGUGUAAACUGCUUUUGUACGGGAAGAAACACUCCCUCGUGAGGGAGCUUGACGGUACCGUAAGAAUAAGGAUCGGCUAACUCCGUGCCAGCAGCCGCGGUAAUACGGAGGAUCCAAGCGUUAUCCGGAAUCAUUGGGUUUAAAGGGUCCGUAGGCGGUUUAAUAAGUCAGUGGUGAAGGCCCAUCGCUCAACGAUGGAACGGCAAUUGAUACUGUUAGACUUGAAUUACAAGGAAGUAACUAGAAUAUGUAGUGUAGCGGUGAAAUGCUUAGAUAUUACAUGGAAUACCAAGUGCGAAGGCAGGUUACUACUUGUGGAUUGACGCUGAUGGACGAAAGCGUGGGGAGCGAACAGGAUUAGAUACCCGAGUAGUCC
rnacentral:rRNA from 1 species